rnacentral:rRNA from 1 species
AGUGAACGCUGGCGGCGUGCUUAACACAUGCAAGUCGAACGAGAACGGAUUAUAGCUUGCUAUAAUUGUCAGCUAAGUGGCGCACGGGUGAGUAAUGUAUAGGUAAUAUGCCUCUUACUAAGGGAUAACAAAUGGAAACGUUUGCUAAUACCUUAUACUCCUUAUUAACAUAAGUUAAUAAGGGACAGAUUUAUUGGUAAGAGAUUAGCCUGUAUUGUAUCAGUUAGUUGGUGGGGUAACGGCUUACCAAGACUAUGACACAUAACUGGUUUGAGAGGAUGAUCAGUCACACUGGAACUGAGACACGGUCCAGACUCCUACGGGAGGCAGCAGUGGGGAAUAUUGCACAAUGGACGGAAGUCUGAUGCAGCAACGCCGCGUGGAGGAUGACACAUUUCGGUGCGUAAACUCCUUUUAUAUGAGAAGAUAAUGACGGUAUUAUAUGAAUAAGCACCGGCUAACUCCGUGCCAGCAGCCGCAGUAA